AUUGGACGCUGGCGGCAUGCCUUACACAUGCAAGUCGAACGGCAGCGCGGACUUCGGUCUGGCGGCGAGUGGCGAACGGGUGAGUAAUACAUCGGAACGUACCCUGUUGUGGGGGAUAACUAGUCGAAAGAUUAGCUAAUACCGCAUACGACCUGAGGGUGAAAGUGGGGGACCGCAAGGCCUCACGCAGCAGGAGCGGCCGAUGUCUGCUUAGCUAGUUGGUGGGGUAAAGGCCCACCAAGGCGACGAUCAGUAGCUGGUCUGAGAGGACGAUCAGCCACACUGGGACUGAGACACGGCCCAGACUCCUACGGGAGGCAGCAGUGGGGAAUUUUGGACAAUGGGGGCAACCCUGAUCCAGCAAUGCCGCGUGUGUGAAGAAGGCCUUCGGGUUGUAAAGCACUUUUGUCCGGAAAGAAAUCGCGCUGGUUAAUACCUGGCGUGGAUGACGGUACCGGAAGAAUAAGCACCGGCUAACUACGUGCCAGCCGCCGCAGUAA
rnacentral:rRNA from 1 species